rnacentral:lncRNA from 1 species
UCGGACGGUUACUGGAAAUUGGAAUUUUGGAAGAACCAAUUGAAGGGGCCGUAAAAUUAUGAUCUGUAGUAUUAAACCUCCAAAAUGCAAUUUGCCCUUUGAAAUAUGCGUUUAACGGCACAGUCAGGACACUUUAGUUUUGGCCUUUGGAUAAGAUACCUAUAAACGCUUCACUGUACAUAGUAUUACAGAAAAUACUAUGAAUAAUUCGUUGUUGGAAUUUUACUAGGCAUAUAUACCGUGUAGUGUGUAGUGUGUGUUGUUUCUUCGUCUUUUCAGGAGCGCCAUUUUGUACAGCAUUCUCUGUGUUCUGGAAAUAUGCAUAGAUGCUCGACAGACAUUUCAAAGUAUCACGCUUUGGAAUUUUGCUAACCUACGAUAAGAUGACUCCGUGGAAUCGUGAACAUAGAACUGUCAGCAAGCCCCUUGACGUUGCAAUGAAGUAGGCCUACAGUAGGGGAAACGCAAUUGUUCGAGCAAAUCAACGAAACCUUCAUACUUAAUAAUACCAUUCGUUAGGAAAAAUAUGGUUUUAUAGUUAAUUGUUUGGGUCAUGGGAGGUAGGACGGAUACAGUAUGAUGACAAGUUGCAGUGCUGGGGUACCCAGGACCAUAGGAGUUGGCAACAUCCCCCGGAAGAACGUGUUGAGAGUUUUGAAAGCUGUGCGAUUUCAAUAUUAAUGACGCUUUAAAAUACAGUAGGCUACCGAUUGUAUAACUGAUUGUAUAACGAAAUAGAAUUCAAAACCAUGCGAUUUACUUUUUACUACAAAAAUGGUUACCGGUAACCUUUCUUGUUUCAAUUUAAUUUUUUUUUUUUAAAUCUAUUAAUUUAAAUUUACAAUGAAGAAUAUCAAAUAUUGAAUUUUGUUUUUCAAUUAUAGGCAUAUUAUUAGCUCAACAGACAGUGUACAUCAAACAAACGUAUGGAUGCAACAUGGGGUUAACGACCCAUCAUCACAUGACUUUGAUGUCUACAAUACACGCGCUGAUGAGGAUAAUCCCCGGUCUGCCACGCGUGGCUAAUCAGAUAACGAAACUCUAUCGGUUAUAAGCUGUAACUAGAAUAGUUGGGCGCACCCUAGGUUUGGACAACCAUGGAACAGCAACGCGCCAGCUGGGCAAACGCAACGAGCUGCCGUGUCGAUAGUGUAUACAACCCAUUAUUCCUCCGAUUGAAGUGGGAUUUUAACAUUCAAGUACGUGUGACGUAACAAUGCUUUUUUUCGCCUCCUUUAUGAUGCGGUAGUCCUAUGUACGAGCUUAUUCACAGCUUAAAGUACUGUAAACCUAGAUUCACCAGGUUUACCAAAGCUGUCUAUAAGCAAAGCAAACAAUUUACACUAACUCGUUAUUAGAAAUGUCUACUUCUCUUUUGUUUGAGACGACGAUUACAGAAAAGCGAUUAACUUACACAACACAUUGACUGUAUAGCUGAGUGUAAUUUAAGUAGUGUUUGAUUAUUGAGAGUUACGAUAUUUGUUUAAUUAAAUGAUCUACGCCUUACAUGACAUUAAUUGUCACCUAUUUACUUGUACAGUAUUGUAAUUUACAGUACUGUAGGACUAGAUUCUUGUUAAUAAACAACAUACAGAAUGAUCUGUUUAAACAUAAUAAUGUAGGCCUAUAAUAUAAAUGUUAGUAUUCAAUAUGACGAUCGAUAUAAUAUUUGUUUAGAAUUUUUAUUUUCAUGUUCUUGACAAUAAUAUUUACAGUCAUUGAUAAUUAAGUAAGCCUGAUAACACACCGUGCUUUGAUCUUGUUUGCGUUACCUGGCAUCGGAUUUGUACGCGAUGACGUAAUAGAUUUUGUCGCUUGAUAUUUUUGAAGCACUGUUUUAGUAAACAAGUGUAGGCCUAAUUGUAGUAAGCAUAACCCAAAUACUUUAUUUGCAGAGGAAGAACAGCCUUUCUUUGAAAAAAAAAAUGGAGGUACAGGAUAUGCUUAAAUGUUUAAUGGAGCACGCAAUGAUGUAAUCGUUGAGGAAACUAGUCACCAUGAGUACGAUCAGGGGCAGUGAAUAUUUUGCCAACACUUUACCCACGGGCAACGCGAUUCAUAAACUGCCUGCGCAAGAACACUGAUGGCGACGAGGGCCGAGGUGCCCGGGAAGCCCACGCUCUGUAUUAAGCUCAUACAAUAUAUAUUUUUUUACAAGAACACAAGCACACUGAGGCUGAAAUUGCUUUAAAAUAAAGAACAAAAAAGAACAAAUUGAGGCUGAGGUAAAAUUUCAAAUGAGGUUUUUAUUUAUUCUUUUAAUAGAUAAAUCCUAACUGUACCUUAUGUGCAGUAGAUAUGACUUUAUAAUACCUAUAAUGCAGUACAGUAAUAUACUGCUGUAAAAUAAUAAUUUUAUGGCUUUGAAAUGUUUGCAAAAUAAGGAUAUUUUGAGUCUGAAACACUGAGCUUGGGUCAAAAUUUAACUGGUUCUUAUAAAAAAAAUGUGGUAGUAAAGCAGUUAGCCCUUGUUGCAAAAAAAUAACUACCGUGGUAUUGUUUAUUUGAGAGUGAUGGAUAGUUGAAUUGAUUAACUGAGCUAAGUUUGGUCUACUUUUUAUUGAGCUAAUGGAUUUGAAUAUAUAGACUUCAAUAUUAAAUUGCUUUCAAUAAAUAAUUAGAUUUUAAUUUAGAACGUGAAACUUUUUCUUGUCAUUGAAUUACGGUAUCGGAAAUUAAAGAUAAUUAUUUCUAUUGUUUCAAUGUGAUGAUGAGUUAAUUACUUUGUCUUUUUUUUUACGAAUCAGCAAUUCAUUGUUUUAAUUAUAUUUGACUAACCCAAUGUGAUUGUUUUUUGUGUUUCCAUGCCAUACACUGAAUAGAAGCUUCCUUGAAUAAUUAGUUUAUUCCAGUGUACCAUGUUAUAUAGUCAAUGUUUCACAAAUUGUUUGGAGUAUUUUGAUAAGCCUGCUUAUAAGCAUAGGUUUAUUUACAUUAAUAUGUUAAACUUCAUUUACAAUUGCUGUCAAAUAACAAUGACGAACAUAAGAUAAAUAAACUUAACUAUUUAAAACGAAAUUUUACAUGGUGUAUGUUGAUAUCAAAUGCUACUUAUAUAAAUACGUAUAUAUAGGCCUAGUAUAAAUAUGAGAGGAGCAAUAAUAGACUAUACUUAUAUGGACAGACACUUAAUACUGAAAUUAUAAUCAAACAUGAUUUUACUAAAUGUAUUAAUAGAUUCACAUAGGCUUAUGCCUAUCCUAUCUUAAAUGGCUCUCCCAUUAAAACAGGCAAAACAUUACUCUCCCUCCGGUCCAAGUGUGCUAAACAUUACAUAGGUACACAUAUUAUCCACAGACAUAAAUUAUAACGUUACAUUUGCAAGUUUUACUAACAGAAGAAAUACAAACUGCACAAAUUAAUGAUAUACUAGGUUAAUAGUUUAAUUAUAAAAUUGACUAGCUACUGUAAUUAAAAAAAUGUUUAAAGUAAAUUCUUACAGUGAUAGGCCUACACAGAUCGAAAUAAGUUUCACUGUUUAGCAAAAUUACAAAUAAAAUACUAUACGUCAAAACCUUAAAUUUGAUCACCAGUAAAAUAUUUAGCAAAAGUUUAAAUAUUCGGAAUUACGGUACCAUACGCGUUAUCUCAGCAUCACACUAGGAAGUAUAUAUAGAGUUACUUUUACAAGCUACGUUACAUCAAAGAAGUCUCGAAAAACCCAUAUAAAUAUGGAGAUAUAAUGUAAUGCAACCUUAUAAUAUAAUAUAAAUAAUAAAAUUCUGACCUAAUAAAAUAUAACAAAAUAUAAUGUAAUAAACAAAAUAGAUAAGUAGCAAUACUCGGAAGUAGGAAUAGGCCUAUAAUUGUAUCAUAUAGCUCAUUUUAAUUGUAUGAAAGAUGAUUCUGUAAAAAUAUAUAUAAUAAUUAUAUACAUAAUAUAUAUAUAUAUAUAUAUAUAUUAAUUAAUUAAAAGGCAAAAUACUAAAAAUAACAAUACUGUAGAAAACAAUGACUGGAUCUCGAUAGAGAUACAAAUUUGAUAAGCAACAGCUAAAAUGUAAAUGUAAGUAAACAACAGGC